CAAUACUCGCGGGCGCAGGUGAACCUGGCCCGGGAACCUGAGCGGAGGCUCCCUUGUGCCCCAGAGGCCUCUCGAGCCCAGUGCGUGGACACAGUUCUUCCACUGCCCUGCUUUCUGAGGACCUCUGCCUUCUUCACAACAGCAUCUCCAGGUAUGUGGAGGAAAUGGAAGCAUAUUUUCAGCAGAUCCCAUCCUAGGACUUCUGCUCUUGAAACUAAAUGUGAUCUCCCAGCUGGAGCAAGGGGAGGACCACUGGAGAGUGGAGCAGGGACCUCCCCAAGACUGGAAGACUAGAAAGAGUCAGUGUCUGAAGAGGAUAUUGCUGUGGAAGGGCCAUCUUAUCACGUGGAAAUGAAACUCCACAUUCAGGAGGAGGGCCCCAGGUUGGUGUCAUUAGGAGAAAUGCACCUUUGGCAGGACCAGCUGGGGAAGAACCAGUAGGACUCUGAAUCAAACAGUACUCACCUCAGAGAGACGUUUUGCUCAAGGUGAGAGUUGUUAGCCUGAGCUUAGGAAAAUUAUCUGAGUUUAAGCCUUCUACCUCUGACAUUACCUACAAGAACUCACAGGGUAAAAAGUUGAAACAGAACUCAGUUUUCAUUAAUCAUUAGAAAGACUGGGCUGAUCUGAAGCCCUGUGAAGAUCAUCAAAGUGCUGGAGCCUUCUGUCAGAUUAUUUAUUUGAAUAAACUUGCAGAUUUUGAAACAGGAAAUAAAAAGCCUUAUGAUUAUACUGUCAGUAGUGACUGUUUCAACUAUGGUACUGCCUUUCGUUUUCUUAAUAGAAUUUUUUCAGCAGAGAAGAGCAAAGAUGGUAAGAACUAUGGAAACAUUAAUCAUAGCAUGUCUCUUAAUGAACACAGCCCAUGCAUUUGGAGAGUCAGUUUGAAUGUGAUGGAUUCCUUGUACAGACUGAAAUAAGUUAUCCUGGAGAGGCACUCCUCAGAUAUGAGGAGGACUGUGAUGCCUCCCACAUGGCCUCAUCUUUUACUUACUGUGACAUCAUUUAGACUGGAAAGAAGCCAUAUGAAUGUAAUCCGUGUGCAAGAUCUUUCAGCUGUCGCUCUAAGCUUGUACACCAGAGAACACACUGGAGAAAAGCCCUAUGAAUGUGCUCGAUGUGGAAGGUCUUUCAGCCAGAGCUAUGACCUUGUUGUACACCAGAAAACUCACAUGGGAGAAAAACCCAACAAAUGUAAUCAGUGUGGGAAAUCCUUCACCCAGAGUUCCAAACUCGUUAGGCAUCAAUGAACUCACACUGGAGAAAAACCAUAUAAAUGUCAUGUGGAAAUGUGAAAAAUCUUUCAGGUGGAACUCUAACCUUAUUGUAUAUCAAAUAAUUCACACUGCCUUAAAACUUAGGAGUACACUCAUUGUGGAAAGUCCUUCAGUCAGAGCUCUGACUUUGUCACAUGUAAAAGGACUUACAAUGGAGAGAAAUCCUAUGACUAUAACCCUAUGAAUAUGAGUAUAGUGUGGUAAAUCCUUCAUUUGAAGCACUCAACUUAUUAGGCAUCUGUGAAUUCACACUGGAGAGAAGCCAUAUAAAUGCAAUCAGUGUGAUAAAGCCUACACUGGAAUCUCUCACCUUACUGAACAUCAGAGAACUCAUACUGGAGAGAAACCAUUUGAAUAUCAUCCAUGUGAGAGAGGCUUCACUGGGAGCUCUCACUUUAUUUCACAUUAGAGAGUUCAUUCUGGAGAGAAACCAUAUGAGUGUAACGACAGUGGGAAGGCUUUUCGGCAGUGAACUCAGCUUGUGCAUCAGCAAACACGUGCUGGAGAGAAACCUUAUGAAUGCAGUCACUGUGGAAAAGCUCUCAGCCAAAGGGCUCCAGUCUGUGCAUCAGAGAAUGCACAUUGGAGAGAAGCCCUGUCAGUGUAACAUGUGUGUUAAAACCUUUAGUCAGAGGUCACACCUUAUUGAACAUCAGAGAACACAUACUGGAGAAAAGCCCUAUGAGUGCAUUGACUGUGGGAAGACCAUCAAUGAUCGAUCAACCCUUACAAAACACGAGAGAACACGCACUGGGGAAAAACCCUCUGAAUGUAAACAUUGUGAAAAGGCCUUCAGCCAGCGGUGUCAACUUACUAGGCAUCAGAGAAACCAUACUGGAGAGAUCCUAUGAAUGUAAUAUGUGUGGGAAAGCUUUCAGUUAUAAUACAUCCUUUAUUCAACAUGAGAAGACUCAUAGGGAAGAAACCCUGUGAAUAGUCAAGAUGAAAACCCUCACUGCCAGACUUCCUUUACUAGACAAGAUAUGACUGUCACUGUAGUCUAAUGACUGCAGGCAUCAGAAUUGUUUGGAGUGUGUGUGUUGAAACUGCACAUUACCAAGCUUACCCUCAGCUUACUAAAUCAGAAUCUCUAGCAGUAAAACUCAGGAGCCCACAGUUUUCAAAAGCAGCAUGAAGGACUUGUUUGUACACUAAAAUAUAUUUACUUCUGCAGUUAGGUGAGAAGCUAUGAAUAUGACUACUGAUAAAAAACAUUGUCAGAGCUCUCAGCAGGAAUUAGAAAACACAGACUGGAGCUGUACCCACCAGAUAAUCUUUUAUAGUCCGAACAACCACCCAAUCUGAGUCAGACAUUGUCCCAGUAACACAUUCCUGGAAAUGAUAGUGAACUGAAAAAUAUUCUUGACACAGAGCUCCAAACAUUCCACCUAAGAAGAAACCAUUACAUGAGGAAGAUGGUGUUAGAGAUGAAAUUUGGGGCCAGCCAAGUUCAGUGUAAACCAGCAAUAAAAAACACAAAUUGAAGGAAUACUAAGGAUGGGAAGUUUUAUAAAAUGGUUUUUAUUGGAGUUAAAAGACUCAGUUUUUUGGGCACUCCAUUGUGCUCUAACUUUCUUGCUCAGUUAGGUUGACUAAUCAGAAGUGAGUCCAUAGCAAUAUGAAAAAUGUCAAAUGAAGUGAAAACAGGACCAAAAACAGUAUGUAUACAAAAUGUUACAGCACAUAAAAAUUUGUACGCAGAUGGUUGAUUAAGGUCAGUUCAGCAGCACAUUAAAAAAAAAGUAUGUGUGUGCUUAGUUGCGUCUGACUCUUUGCAACCCUGUGGAUUGUAAC